CGGUGGAGGGGCGUCAUCGCCUCCUAGCAACGCUCCUAGCAACCGGAUAACAUCUGCUCCCUUUGGUCCAAUGCGCGCCUAGAAAAGCCGCGCGCCCGCCUCGCGUUCUGAGCCGGAGCGAGAGGCGCUUCAGAGAAGGAGGGACCGACCUGCAGGAGCCGGCCGCCCCGCCGAGCUGCAGUCGCUGCCGCCGCUGCUGUCGCUGUCAGAACCCGUCCGAAGAGUGACACCUUCGCGAAAAAACAGGAGCUGUGAAACAUUUUCACUCGCAGUCUUCGGAUCCCAGGUCCCCAUUCAUGAGCCCGAGGCUGUGAGACAUGUUCCAUGUGCCAAGGGGAGUUCUCACCAAAUCUUCUGAGGCUGUCCUAGACAUACACUCUUCGAUCUGAGUCAGCAUUACCAGCUUAUCCAAGAGAAGUCCUAUUAUAUUCAUCAACAACGUCGAAAGUAGCCUACUUUAAGAGAAAAUAUGCAGAAGAAGAAGAUCUACAUCAAGGUUACCAUGGGUAUUUUCCAAAACACCUGAUAUUACCGGAAGACAGGACUUGCAUCCUCAAACUUUCCCUGGAGAAGCUCAGGUUUCUUGAAGACCCAGAAACCUACCUAAGAAGGUCUGUGUUAAUUAACAAUUUGCUGAGGAAGAUACACCUAGAGACGGAGAAAGAGAGCUAUGAAUACUUCAAGGAAGCUCCCUGCUAUAAGACUGCUUAUUCUGAUGCAAGAAAACGGCUGAAGUUUAUGGUACAGGAGUGCUGUUCCCAGUCUCUUUACUAUGAAGAGCUGCACUCCUACCACAUUGUGCCUUACACUUCGGAGAGCGCCAUCUAUGGGAUGGGCUACACUGGUGACCACUUGGAGCAAAAUUCUCAGUUGCUCAUUUAUAAAAUGAAUUAAAAAGUAACUGUUAAGUUCAUUGAUAUUCUGUUUCUAAAUGCCUGAACUGUUUAUAGUGAAGAUGUUAAUAGAAAACCCUCAUUACCAGUGCACUUGAUCUCAGUGAUGAGAUGCAUGCUGAACCAAGGGGAGAGGAUCAUGGGUAUUACCCAGCACCCCCUAGUGCCAUCACCAUGAAUGGAAAUAUGCCCAUUUUAUUGUAAAACAAUGGACUGAUGCAUUAGAAGGAAGGGGUUUUGGGUCUUUUUGGUUUUGUUGUUGUUGGUGGUGGUUUUUUGUUUUGUUUUCUGUUUGUUUGAUUUGGUUACUUUUUUGGUUUUUUGGUUUUUUUUGUUUUUUGAGAUAGAAAUGGAUUGAUCUUUAGUAAAUGUGUUAGAUUAAAAUUCCUUCACCUAAAUUCAGUCACUCUUAUUGAAAAGUAGGAGAGAGAGAGAGAGAGAGAGAGAGAGAGAGAGAGAGAGAGAGAGAGAGAGAGAGAAAGCAUAU